GUCAGAGGUUCGAAGGCGAUCAGAUACCGCCCUAGUUCUGACCGUAAACGAUGCCAACUUGCGAUCCGCCGGCGGAAUUUGUCGCCCUGGUGGGGAGCAUCCCGGAAACGAAAGUCUUCCGGUUCCGGGGGAAGUAUGGUUGCAAAGCUGAAACUUAAAGGAAUUGACGGAAGGGCACCACCAGGAGUGGAGCCUGCGGCUUAAUUUGACUCAACACGGGGAAACUCACCCGGCCCGGACACCGUAAGGAUUGACAGAUUGAUAGCUUUUUCAUGAUUCGGUGGAUGGUGGUGCAUGGCCGUUCUUAGUUCGUGGAGCGAUUUGUCUGGUUUAUUCCGAUAACGAGCGAGACUCUGGCCUACUAAAUAGUGAGCGCAUUGCCUCUGUGCGCAGCACUUCUUAGAGGGAUUUUCGGUGUUCAGCCGCACGAAAUUGAGCAAUAACAGGUCUGUGAUGCCCUUAGAUGUCCGGGGCUGCACGCGCGCUACACUGGCAAAAUCAGCGUGCUUGUCCUUCGCCGAAAGGCGUUGGUAAACCCCUGAAAAUUUGCCGUGAUUGGGAUCGGAAAUUGCAAUUAUUUUCCGUGAACGAGGAAUUCCAAGUAAGUGCGAGUCAUCAACUCGCGUUGAUUACGUCCCUGCCCUUUGUACACACCGCCCGUCGCU
rnacentral:rRNA from 1 species